UACGGAUGGUGCAAGCGUUAAUCGGAAUUACUGGGCGUAAAGCGCGCGUAGGUGGCUUGAUAAGCCGGUUGUGAAAGCACAGGGCUCAACCUGGGAACGGCAUCCGGAACUGACAAGCUAGAGUGCAGGAGAGGAAGGUAGAAUUCCUGGUGUAGCGGUGAAAUGCGGAGAGAUCGGGAGGAAUACCAGUGGCGAAGGCGGCCUUCUGGACUGACACUGACACUGAGGUGCGAAAGCGUGGGUAGCAAACAGG
rnacentral:misc_RNA from 1 species